GAUGAACGCUAGCGGCAGGCUUAACACAUGCAAGUCGAGGGGCACGCGUGACGGUUUAGCAAAUAAACUGUUGACGGCGACCGGCGCAAGGGUGCGUAACGCGUGAGCAACUUGCCCGGUUUCUGGAGGAUAAACCGGGUGGAAACGCCGACUAAUACUCCAUAGCAUAUACGAGAGGCAUCUUUUGUAUAUUAAAGAAUUUUGGAAACGGAUAGGCUCGCGUGACAUUAGCUAGUUGGC
rnacentral:rRNA from 1 species